CUUGCGCAUGCGCUCCAGCUCCCGGAGGUACGCCUGUGUGUGCGGGUGGUCGCGGUGAACGUGCAAGGCCGCGGUGGCGGCGUGACAAGCCUGCGCUACCAGUGCGCCGAGCGGCCAUGAGAAGGGAGCUUGCGAUAGAUCCUUUCGUAACACCAAGUACUGUACCAGGAUCUGCGGCUCUGCGCCGGAGGCCGCCAUUUUCCUGCCCAACAGAAAGGCUGGACGUAGUCCCCGGUGCAUGCCGGGAGUAAGGAGGUGCCCUGCGCGCAGCCAUGUUUUGUACGGUGGGAGCGCAAAGCACGCUGGGACCAACUGGCUUGGAUUUGAAGACGAGGACGCGGGAACUCGGGCGAGGAAGUCACGUCCCUGCUACGGCCUUCCUGGACGGCGUUAUAGGGCGGCUUUGUAGGGCGGCGCCUGGAAACCCGAGGAGAUGCAGUCGGCGAGUGGAGACAGCGAGUCCCAAGGAGGUGUUUUAGCUCACUUGGAAAGGUUAGAGGCACAAGCGAACCUAUCCCGUAAAAAAUUGGAACAGCAGAAAGUGGAAAAUGCUCUUGGAACAAAGAUUCGUAAAUUGAGAUAUGUUCGAGAUAAACUAAAGGCUGAAGUGAAGCAACGACAAGCCAGAGUUAAAACCUCAACGGCCAAUGUAGAACCCAACCCAACAUUGGAGAUCAUGGAGCAAGAAGUUCUGGAAAGAAAACAGGAAAAUGUGAAGGCCAUUCUGCAGGCAUAUCAUUUUACAGGGCUCAGUGGGAAGCUGACCAGUCGAGGAGUCUGUGUCUGUAUCAACACCUCUUUUCAGGGAAACCUGCUGGGCUCCUAUUUUGUGGACCUUGUUAUACAGAAACCGCUUCGGAUACAUCGCCAUUCAGUUCCAGUCUUUAUUCCUUUAGAGGAAUUGUCAGCAAAAUACUUACAGACUGAUAUUCAGCACUUUCUGUUCAGUCUCUGUGAAUACCUAAAUGCUUACUCUGGAAGGAAGUACCAGGCAGAUCGACUUCAGAGUGACUUUGCAGCCUUUCUGGCUGGACCCUUGCAGAGAAACUCACUGUGCAACUUGCUGGUGUUUACUUAUAAAGUGGAAUCGAAGAGUCAGUCCUUCCCAUUUUGUGCAAGAUUGCUGUACAAGGACCUUACAAUAACCCUUCCAACUGACGUCAGCAUUACAUAUCAAGGGAUGGACACAUUACCCACCUCAUGGGAAGAGCAGCAAGCAGCCCAUGAAAACCUGUUUUCUACACAGCCCCUACAUCAAGUGUUUACAGCAUUUGCAAGGAAAGGAGAAAGGUUGGACAUGAGCCUCAUCUCCUAAAAUGCUUCUAGUGGGAACACGUCAGACGUGAGUAAAUCAGUACUCCCUACAGCUCCAUCCCUGGGGAUGUCCCGGCAGGAGAAUGCACACCCUCAGUAGGAUGCUGACAGUUUUGAGUCAGACGUGUGUUUGGACAGUUCAUUGAUGGCUCACUUGUUAAAAUGCCCAAGAUCGUCUAUUCUUUGGCGAGAGUAGGGGAUGGUAUGUUUUCGUUAAAAGUCAGGUUUGUGGGACAGUAAAAGAUGGUCUGUGAAAGAGGGAAUGUGUACCAUUCAACAGAACACAGUAUUCCUGGUUUUUAUGGAAGCUGGACAUAAUUCUAUCUCCUUUCCCUUUUGGAGGCUUUUGAAAUGAAAGUUUUUGGAACAGGCUAGGUUUGUCUUGUGUGGUGAACCCUAGAGUUAAGGGAAGUGUUUAACCUUUGAUUUGAAGUGGUGUGUUCCAGGUCUCUGCUUUAUAAAGAAUGUGCUAUGAGAAAGAACUGUCAGUACAAUAGGGUUCUGUGUAUCCUAAGACAGCUAUGACAGCAUGUUCAAAAUCUGCUCAUACCUCACCUUGUUGUAAAGUGGAGUUGACACUCCCUCUUCUGCCACUCUAGGCCAUGGCUGUGCUGAGUCUUCCCCAUCUCCUAGUUGGUUAGUGUGCAGUCUCUCUUGGUCGCCUCUGGUUGCCGGGACUUCUGUUGUUGGCUGAUGGGAGUGCACGUUGGUCCAGUUCACAGAUGUGAACACCUGUGUCUGGCCAGGCCCUGCCAUUUCUUUUGUCACCCUCACUCUAAGGCGGUUACUUCUUAGACCAGAUGACCAGGAAGUGGCUACCUAGGAGGGUAGGAGCGCCAGCUCACCCUGGGAAGAGCAUGGAGGAUGGUCAGGCUAGUUCAGGUCAAGCUCUUGCCUUCCGGAUAUGUGGUGAGGACCCAGUGGUGGGAGAUAGCAGAGCACUUAAUAUUCCUCUCAUCUGAGAAGCGUUUAACAGAAUUUUCACAUUGAUCACAUUCAAGUUGAAUAAAGCUUUUAAUAAAACAGUCUUAUUCUUUACAAUACCUGUAAAUUCUCUUUUAAAGCAGUAGCAAAGGCAACUGUAGCAAGAGCUCAAAAGGCAAGGCAAUAUCGGAAAAGUUUUUUAACAGAAAGUUAAAAAUAUAAAUGUAGAAGAUUUGUUUAUAUAUUUUUCUUUCAGAAAUAGAUCCCCCUCCCCCCUCCCAUCAGGUAAAAGGAAAUAUUGCACUUUCUGCUCUCGUGACUAAGGUGACAGGGGUUCCAGAAGAACCUUUCAAGAUUAUCAGGAACAUCAGGACGAGGGCCAUUUCACCUACUGUCAAGUGCUGCUCUGGGCCACAGCCAGCCCUCUGCCAAGCUCAUGUUAAGCAGAGACGUCCACCCUGUGCUCCCAGCCCAGCGCCAAGGCAGCUCUGCUCCCCCCCAUGCACUCCUGCUCACAGUGGCCACGGCCUCUCGGCGGGGGGAGAAGGGCGGGUCGGAACUAGGACUCAAAAGGUUCAGUUCCAGUGCUAUGCCUACGACCCCUACUCUCUGAGGAAGCUACAGGCAUACUGAGGAGGAGUAUGGCCACCUCAGAGCUCACAGAGCCACAAACAGAUGAAGGCUUGAGGAGACUGUUAAACCUAAAGUCUAUGUUGAGUGUGCACUUCAGCAGUUACUUGGUAAUUUGUCCUCUCCCAAGGCCUUUCUUCAACUCCAAAAGUAAAUUCUCCCCUCCCCUGUGGACUGUCACCGGGCGAGAGGCCAUUCAGGAGUUGUCUACCACCUGGUGGGGCAGUGUAACCGAGGAGCCGUUAGGGAAGGCGGCUGGCUUGUCACGCCCCUUCAAGAAAAAGGUCAGUAGCUCCCCCUUCCCUUUCACAAAGAUGGGCCCUCGCCUCACGAAGCGGAAGCCGUACUCUCGAAGAAUGACUUGUGUUUCUUCCACAACCUGUAAAGGGAGAACAGCACAAGAGAUUGGGGUUAGAGAGGCUAGACUGAGGGUACCAGUUGGUACCCACACGUGAUCCACAGGGCCCCUGCUCUUCUCCAAGCCUCCUAAAGUAAAGUUCCCUCCCCACCACACACAUGGCACAGGGUAGGGAGCCACAGUCUCAGUGCGCCCUCCCUGGGAGGACGGCCAGUGGGGCAGCAUUCGUGUUUUGAAAUUUUACUGCCUGUUCUGUUCCCUUUGUUGUUUCUUCACAUCAGGGUGGCUGCGGGGGAAACUGCUGUAGGAACAGUGUGCUAGAAAAUUCAUACCAAGAGGCAGGGUUUUCUUACUCAGAAUUUAAACCUAAAUUUUGUAAACAGGGUUGAAGUGUUUUUUCUCCUCUGAGGCAUCUCUGCCCACCCACCCUUGCCCUUAAUCUCACAGCACUGCCAACUGCACAUUCUGGGCCAGCAGAAACGAGCAGUCGUGGAUGGCAGAACACACACUAUUCCGGUCUGUUCCCGGUCUCUGGGCCUGGUAGACAUACCUGAAUGUUGCCCAUGACCCCUGUGGACUCCAUCCUGCUGGCCACGUUGACGGUAUUGCCCCAGAUGUCAUAGUGUGGUUUCCGGGCUCCGAUGACGCCAGCAAGUACCCCACCUUUGUUCAUGCCUGGGGUGGAGGCAUGUGAUUCAGCACAGCCACAUGCUAAACCUUGUCAUGUCUUAGAAGCCAAUUGCUCCCAUAGACUUUGUCAGCUGGCCCCUGGAACUCUACAACACGUCAUAUCCCUUUCUUAAGCUUCUCUCUCUGAACUUACUGGAGGGCUAAAAUCGUAUCUCCUCUUCAUCCUGUGCUUUCCAGGUGCUUAAAAACAUGGUUACUCAAUAUGGAAGCUGCCAGUUUUUAACACCUGCCUGGUACUUCGUACUUCACAUUUCAAGUGACCUCACCCAGGAGUGAAACCCACUUCCCAGUAGCAGGGAGCAGGUGACAUUAAUGCCUGAGAGGCUGGACUGAGUUGCUGGUCGGCUCCUGCCUGCCCUACCUCGGCCCCCAAGACAUGUCAUGAGAGAGCUGUAUCCAGAGGGUCCCGGAGGGGGCAGCAAGAGCAGAGGAAGCCGCGCAGUUCCAUGGCUCAAGGCCACCCCUCACCUCAUCUCUCUUCUUGGACCCCAGGAAAUGGCGGGCCACGUGCUCAGGCAGCAUGUUGGUGACCAAGGCCUCGUUCCAGCGUCGCAUUUCAUAGACACGUUCCUUCUGGUCAUGGACCUCAAUUUUCCACAAGAACAGUGUCCUCGCCAGUUUUUCCACCUACAGACAGACAGGCAAGGAACUUGAAGUGGGAAAACACAGGAAGAUGGCUCCAUGGCAGGGCUGCAGUGAGUGACCCACGCCCUGUGGUCACAGCAGAGACCCCAGAGGCCUCCUGCCUUUGUGUGGCCUCCAGGGGACCUAAUUUUAGCUACCAGUUUUUCUUGUGGGUGGUGGUGGGGCGGGGGAGCUCCCAGCUCAGGAAGGAGCCCUGUUUCCAGCAGGCGCCAUCUGGCAAGCGCUUGGGAAGGCUGUAGUUCUCCGGCAGGCCACUGGGUGGCACUGGAGCUAAUGGGGAGCGAUAAGUGCCUAGUGAGGACACCACCCCUCCUUCCUCCUUCCUCAGCUCCUCUCCCUUUGUCUUCUGGCUCUGGGCGCAUAAAAGUCCAGGAGCCACUAGCCUGGGGAAGGGGUUUUUUUUUGUUUUUGUUUUUUUAAUAGAGGCAUGUUUUAUUUAUUUGUUUGUUUUGUUUAUACAUGCACUGGGUACAGUCAGAAGCGCGGGAG